rnacentral:rRNA from 1 species
GAUGAACGCUAGCGGGAGGCCUAACACAUGCAAGCCGAGCGGUAGAGUUUCUUCGGAAACUUGAGAGCGGCGCACGGGUGCGUAACACGUGUGCAACCUACCUUUAUCUGGGGGAUAGCCUUUCGAAAGGAGGAUUAAUACCCCAUAAUAUAAUGAUUGGCAUCAAUUAUUAUUGAAAACUCCGGUGGAUAGAGAUGGGCACGCGCAAGAUUAGAUAGUUGGUGAGGUAACGGCUCACCAAGUCAAUGAUCUUUAGGGGUCCUGAGAGGGAGAUCCCCCACACUGGUACUGCGACACGGACCAGACUCCUACGGGAGGCAGCAGUGAGGAAUAUUGGACAAUGGGUGAGAGCCUGAUCCAGCCAUCCCGCGUGAAGGAUGACGGUCCUAUGGAUUGUAAACUUCUUUUGUACAGGGAUAAACCUACCCUCGUGAGGGUAGCUGAAGGUACUGUACGAAUAAGCACCGGCUAACUCCGUG